GGGGAAUUAGCUCAGUGGUAGAGCGCUUGCUUAGCAAGAUUGUUUGCAUGAGGCCGUGGGUUCAAUUCCCACAUUCUCCA
rnacentral:tRNA from 1 species